CUUUCACUCUGGCGGCAUGCCUUACACAUGCAAGUCGAACGGUAACAGGUCUUCGGAUGCUGACGAGUGGCGAACGGGUGAGUAAUACAUCGGAACGUGCCCGAUCGUGGGGGAUAACGAAGCGAAAGCUUUGCUAAUACCGCAUACGAUCUACGGAUGAAAGCAGGGGACCGCAAGGCCUUGCGCGACCGGAGCGGCCGAUGGCAGAUUAGGUAGUUGGUGGGAUAAAAGCUUACCAAGCCGACGAUCUGUAGCUGGUCUGAGAGGACGACCAGCCACACUGGGACUGAUACACGGCCCAGACUCCUACGGGAGGCAGCAGUGGGGAAUUUUGGACAAAGGGCGAAUGCCUGAUCCAGCCAUGCCGCGUGCAGGAUGAAGGCCUUCGGGUUGUAAACUGCUUUUGUACGGAACGAAAAGACUCUGGUUAAUACCUGGGGUCCAUGACGGUACCGUAAGAAUAAGCACCGGCUAACUACGUG
rnacentral:rRNA from 1 species